rnacentral:rRNA from 1 species
ACCGCCACCGUUCUCAGCCUGAAGGCGCCCGAUCUACGUCUUGAUCUCGGAAGCUAAGCAGGGUCGGGCCUGGUUAGGAUCUUGGAUGGGACGACCACCUGGGAAUCCCGGGUGCUCGAGGCU